CCAAACCCUAAACUCCUCUCCUCACUCUCUCGCUUCCUCUCUGAUGCUGCAAGCCGUCCACGGCGGCGGCGCCGCCGGAAUUCGCCACCGGCGGCGGCUAACCUCCAAAUGACCCCAAAUAUGUAAUCUCCAAUACCUCCUCUUUCCAUAUCUUCAAACCAAAUCUUUCAAAACCCCCUCAAACUCCACGAAUAGUAGAUCUAAGAAAUCACACCCGCUACCCUUUUCUUAAAAUCAUGAAGAUUGAGCCACCCUUUCCACCUAAUUUUCACAUACAUAGAUAGAGCUCAGCGGGGACUAUCUUUUCAUAUUGAUCUUGACCCAAAACUCCGGCGGCCGGAAUUUCGACGCACCACUGCCACUGCCGCUGCCGCACCGCUACUGACGCAUCACUUCUCCUCUAUUUUAGCCUAAUUCUGACCCAAGAACACUCAUUUCCUUUUGGCAUGACACAAAGAUAAUUGAAUUUGGUGUCUACGGAAAUGAAAUAAGUGUUCCAUGGUCGGCCAACCACUUCUUGGCAUCUCCGACGUCUUCUCGUGGCUCGAACAACUUCAAGCACACUCGUUAGCUGCGAGUUUGGAUAAAGUUCAUCACUUUUGUUUGCUUUCGAAUCCGCGGCCUAGGUAUUCUUCUUAACUUUGUAAUGUAGUUUUUUUUCCCGAUCUCUUUGAAUGAAGCAUGAAGUCCAAAGCUUUAACUUAAUUUCAUUUGUUGGUUUUGGUUUAUUUUUAUGAAUGAUAACUUUACGCGUUCAUGUUCGGAUAUUAGCUGUGGCAUAAGUGCUUUUGGUUUUCAAUUUUUCAAUGAGAGUUUUGAUUGUUGAAAGUUCUUUAACAUAUUCACGAGAAUUGCAAUGAAAUAGUUUCAGUCACAA